UGUACCAUUUAUUUCUAAUUUACCAUUUUGCUAACUAUUGAAGCCUUCGACCAUGAACCUGUUCUGGCCGUCUCUCAUCUGCUUUACUCCAUUUCUCAACUGCUAGAGCCGUUAUCCUCUUCUCUGUCUGUUUCAGACCUAAUCGAGCCCCCUUUCUUAUAUCGAAGCCUUCACAACGUUUCUCUCUCCUCUACUCUCUCUCUUUCUUCCAACCGUCUUCGACCAUGAAUCUGUUCGUCGAAUAAAGAGACGGGGAGAGAAAGGCAUAUCACAAACUCUCUCUCCGUCGAUCCCCAUAUAUCUAUAGGAGUUGGGCGGAGGAGUUCAAUUUUUGAAGAGGAUGCCUACGAGCAGGCUAGGGAUUUCAAUUUUGUUGAUGUAUUUACGAAAUUAGGGUUAGGGCUUUGAUGUGUAGUACAAAAUUGGGGUUAGGGUGGGGCGACGACGCCGGUGAACCAGGUGUGGCAAGGCACGAGUUUCAGUGAAGCUCUAGUAUUCCGGCAAGGUAUGAGUUUCAGACAGAGCAACGAUGGCACCGGAGGAGGAGACUCGAGGAUUAAGAAGAGAAAUGGAAGUGCUCUGAUUUCAAUUCUUGAUGGAGCAGAAGGCUACUGCAAUUCAACAAAGUAACAGGCUUCGUCAGGAACUGCAAAUGGUUUAUUAAAGGGAGCGCAAACCAAGCUAUCCACACCUGAUCGAGGAGGUGCAAGAGUUUGAGAUAUCAAAUUGCCUAUUUCCACAACAUUUGUUCUUUAAUUGUUCUUUUUCCCAUAAAGUUUGGAAUUCAGUGGCUGAGGCAAUUUCUCUUAACUGGCAUAGCAUGACGAAUUUGAAUGAUAUUAUUGCUUGGACUUCUGCUAACUGUCAAGUUAAGAAGAAUUGGUCCCAUCAGCUGCACAAAAUUUCCCUUGCUUCAUUGUUGCUCGUGAUGCCAUUAGGAUCACUUCUCUCUAUAUUGGUUGGGGACUUGAUGGCUCAGUUUGGAUUUCAUCGGAACUGAAAGGUUUGAAUGAUGAUUGUGAGCACUGCGAGAGUUUUCCUCCUGGUCACUUAUACUAGAGCAAACAGGGAGGCCUUCGCCAAUGGUACAACUUCUCUGAGGCUAUUCCAUCAACGCCAUAUGAUCCACUUGAUCUAUAAGGCGUGCUUUUGAAAAUGUUAGAUUCACGAACUUUUUACCAUUAUUUAUAAAAAUUAUGAGUCAUUUUAAUCAUUGGCUUUUUACCACUUGUUCAGGAAGGUUGACUAUGUAUGCUUUAUGAAUGUUUGAAGGAGGAAUUAUGGAGUUGUAUUUGUUCCUUGUGAAGUAGGAAGUUGUACGUGUUGGUUGUGAUCUUAGAAGUUAUAUGCUUUAUAA